AACGAACGCUGGCGGCAGGCUUAACACAUGCAAGUCGAGCGCCCCGCAAGGGGAGCGGCAGACGGGUGAGUAACGCGUGGGAACGUACCCUUUGCUACGGAAUAGCUCCGGGAAACUGGAAUUAAUACCGUAUGUGCCCUACGGGGGAAAGAUUUAUCGGCAAAGGAUCGGCCCGCGUUGGAUUAGCUAGUUGGUGGGGUAAUUGCCUACCAAGGGGACGCUCCAUAGCUGGUUUGCGAGGAUGAUCAGCCACAUUGGGACUGAGACACGGCCCGCACUCCUACGGGGGGCAGCAGUGGGGAAUAUUGGACAAUGGGCGCAAGCCUGAUCCAGCCAUGCCGCGUGAGUGAUGAAGGCCUUAGGGUUGUAAAGCUCUUUCACCGGAGAAGAUAAUGACGGUAUCCGGAGAAGAAGCCCCGGCUAACUUCGUGCCAGCCGCCGCCGUAACAC
rnacentral:rRNA from 1 species